ACGAACGCUGGCGGCUGCUUAACACAUGCAAGUCGAACGGAGUGGCGAACGGGUGAGUAACGCGUGAGCAACCUGCCUAUGACAGUGGGAUAGCCUCGGGAAACCGGGAUUAAUAUCGCAUAGUCAUAGAUGGGCUCGCGUCUGAUUAGCUAGUUGGUGAGGUAACAGCUAACCAAGGCGACGAUCAGUAGCCGGUCUUGGAGGAUGAACGGGCACAUUAGAGCUGAGACACGGUCCAAACUCUUACGGGAGGCAGCAAGGGGGAAUAUUGCACAAUGGGUGAAUCCCGGAGGCAGCGACGCCGCGUGAACGAGGAAGGUAUUCGUAUCGUAAAGUUCUGUCCUAUGGGAAGCGGUACCAUAGAAGAAAGCUCCGGCUAAAUACGUGCCAGCAGCCGCGGUAAUAC
rnacentral:rRNA from 1 species